GUUUAGCCCUGAUCGCAGCAUUUGUCUGAGCUCAUUUUUUGGGUUUCGGGAGCGCGGCUUUGCCGCGCCCCCGAAACCCAAAAAAUAGCGAGUGCGGAGAGCAGGAAAUAGC
rnacentral:misc_RNA from 1 species